AGAGCAUAGGGCGAAUGCCUUGGCACCAAGAGCCGAUGAAGGACGGGAUAAGCACCGAUAUGCUUCGGGGAGUCGCAAAUAGACUAAGAUCCGGAGAUUUCCGAAUGGGGGAACCCGCUUAAGAAGACCUUAAGCAUCAUACACUGAAUCCAUAGGUGUAUGAAGGAAGACCAGGGGAACUGAAACAUCUAAGUACCCUGAGGAAGAGAAAGAAAAAUUCGAUUUCCUAAGUAGCGGCGAGCGAACGGGAAAGAGCCCAAACCAGAUUUAUCUGGGGUUAAGGACAGAACAAAGGAUAUAUGGUUAGUAGAGGAAGAAAGCUGGAAAGCUUCACCAAAGAAGGUGAUAGUCCUGUACUCGAAACUAAACAUAUACAGGUUCUGAAUCCAGAGUACCACGGGACACGUGAAAUCCUGUGGGAAGUCGGGAGGCCCACCUCCCAAGGCUAAAUACUCCUUGGUGACCGAUAGUGAAGUAGUACCGUGAGGGAAAGGUGAAAAGAACCCCGGGAGGGGAGUGAAAUAGAACCUGAAACCCUAUGCUUACAAGCAGUGGGAGCACAAUAUUAGUGUGACCGCGUACUUUUUGUAGAACGGGCCAGCGAGUUAUGGUAGUCAGCGAGGUUAAGUGAUUAAGUCACGAAGCCGUAGGGAAACCGAGUCUUAAUAGGGCGAAUGAGUUGGCUGCCAUAGACCCGAAACCGUGUGAGCUAUCCAUGGGCAGAGUGAAGUUGAAGUAAAAUUCAAUGGAGGCUCGAACCCGUUAGCGUUUAAAAGCUAUGGGAUGACCUGUGGAUAGGGGUGAAAAGCCAAACGAACACGGUGAUAGCUGGUUCUCCUCGAAAUAGCUUUAGGGCUAGCCUCGAGGAAGUGAUAUGGAGGUAGAGCACUGACUGGUCUAGGGGCACAUAGUGUUACCAAAACCUAUCAAACUCCGAAUACCAUAAUCAUGAUCCUCGGGAGUCAGACAUAGUGGGAUAAGCUUCUAUGUCGAAAGGGAAAGAACCCAGACCACCAGCUAAGGUCCCUAAAUCCAGAUUAAGUGUAAAAGGAUGUGGGGUUUCACAAACAACCAGGAUGUUGGCUUAGAAGCAGCCAUACAUUUAAAGAGUGCGUAAUAGCUCACUGGUCGAGAGACCCUGCGCCGAAGAUUUCCGGGGCUUAAAUUUGGUACCGAAGCUGUGGGAUUUGGAGGUAGGAAGUGAGAAGUUAGAAGUGGGAGAAGAAGAGAAGGUGAUCAUAUGAUAAAAAGCUACGAAGAUUUAGAAGUCUAUCAGCAAUCAUAUGAACUUUAUAUAGAAAUAUAUAAAGCAACAUUAAAUCUUCCUAGAUAUGAAACAUACGAAAUUGUGAAUCAACUGAGAAGAGCAGCCUUAUCAAUAGUGCUAAACAUAGCAGAAGGAUAUGGCAAACAAUCAGUAGCAGAUUUCAAAAGAUUUCUGAGCAUAAGCAUUGGUUCAUGUAAUGAAGUAUGUGUAACUUGGAGAUAAAAUCCAACAUCUGACAUCUGACUUCUUACCUCCAGAUCGGUAGAGGAGCAUUGUGUGUUGGGUAGAAGGUGUACCGAAAGGAGCGCUGGACUACACACAAGAGAGAAUGCUGGCAUGAGUAGCGAAAGGUAAGUGAGAAUCUUACCCGUCGAAAGCCUAAGGUUUCCUGAGGAAGGCUCGUCCACUCAGGGUAAGUCGGGACCUAAGCCCAGGCCGCAAGGCGUAGGCGAUGGACAACAGGUUAUAAUUCCUGUACUAGUUAUAAGCGUUUGAGAGAAGGGGUGACGCAGGAGGAUAGGUUGAGCGCGGGGUUGGAAAACCGCGUCCAAGCAAGUAGGCAGAGGAGAUAGGCAAAUCCGUUUCCUUAUUAAUGUCGAGAUGCGAUGGGGAUCGAAAAACAAGUAGAGAAGCAACCGACUCCACACUGCCAAGAAAAGCCUCUAUCGAGCAAGUAACUACCCGUACCGCAAACCGACACAGGUAGGCGAGGAGAGAAUCCUAAGACGAGCGGAAGAACCUUUGUUAAGGAACUCGGCAAAAUGACCCCGUAACUUCGGGAGAAGGGGUGCCAGAGAAGGAUAGAUUGAACAAUCGAAAGAUCAUCUGGCCGCAGUGAAUAGGCCCAAGCGACUGUUUACCAAAAACAUAAGUCUCUGCUAAGUCGAAAGACGAAGUAUAGGGGCUGACACCUGCCCGGUGCUGGAAGGUUAAGGGGAAGGCUUAGCGUAAGCGAAGGCUAGAACUUAAGCCCCAGUAAACGGCGGCCGUAACUAUAACGGUCCUAAGGUAGCGAAAUUCCUUGUCGGGUAAGUUCCGACCCGCACGAAAGGUGUAACGACUUGGGCACUGUCUCAACAAAGGAUCCGGUGAAAUUGUAGUAUACGUGAAGAUGCGUAUUACCCGCGACAGGACGGAAAGACCCCGUGGAGCUUUACUGCAGUCUGACAUUGGAUUUUGGUAUUACAUGUACAGGAUAGGUGGGAGACGUAGAAGCUAGGACGCCAGUCUUAGUGGAGUCAUCCUUGGGAUACCACUCUUGUAAUGCUAGAAUUCUAACCUGGUACCUUGAAACAGGUAUAGGGACACUGUCAGUCGGGCAGUUUGACUGGGGCGGUCGCCUCCUAAAAAGUAACGGAGGCGCUCAAAGGUUCCCUCAGCACGGUCGGAAAUCGUGCAAAGAGUGCAAAGGCAAAAGGGAGCUUAACUGCGACACCCACAAGUGGAGCAGAUACGAAAGUAGGACUUAGUGAUCCGGUGGUACCGAGUGGAAGGGCCAUCGCUCAACGGAUAAAAGCUACCCCGGGGAUAACAGGCUUAUCUCCCCCAAGAGUCCACAUCGACGGGGAGGUUUGGCACCUCGAUGUCGGCUCGUCUCAUCCUGGGGCUGAAGUAGGUCCCAAGGGUUGGGCUGUUCGCCCAUUAAAGAGGCACGCGAGCUGGGUUCAGAACGUCGUGAGACAGUUCGGUCCCUAUCCGUCGUGGGCGUAGGAAAUUUGAAAGGAGCUGUCCUUAGUACGAGAGGACCGGGAUGGACAGACCUCUGGUGAAUCAGUUGUCGUGCCAACGGCAUAGCUGAGAAGCUAAGUCUGGACUGGAUAAGUGCUGAAGGCAUCUAAGCACGAAGCCACCCUUAAGAUAAGAUUUCCCAUCACAAAAGUGAGUAAGACACCAGGAAGACCACCUGGU
rnacentral:rRNA from 1 species